GACGAACGCUGGCGGCGUGCUUAACACAUGCAAGUCGAACGGAAAGGCCCUGCUUUUGUGGGGUGCUCGAGUGGCAAACGGGUGAGUAACACGUGAGUAACCUGCCCUUGACCUUGGGAUAACUUCAGGAAACUGGGGCUAAUACCGGAUAGGAGCUCCUGCUGCAUGGUGGGGGUUGGAAAGUUUCGGCGGUUGGGGAUGGACUCGCGGCUUAUCAGCUUGUUGGUGGGGUAGUGGCUUACCAAGGCUUUGACGGGUAGCCGGCCUGAGAGGGUAACCGGCCACAUUGGGACUGAGAUACGGCCCAGACUCCUACGGGAGGCAGCAGUGGGGAAUAUUGCACAAUGGGCGGAAGCCUGAUGCAGCAACGCCGCGUGCGGGAUGACGGCCUUCGGGUUGUAAACCGCUUUCGCCUGUGACGAAGCGUGAGUGACGGUAAUGGGUAAAGAAGCACCGGCUAACUACGUG
rnacentral:rRNA from 1 species